GGCAUACAACCAGCCGGGUGGAGGUUCGGAAGAUUGUGUGGCUCUGGAGAAGGGUGUUGACUUCCACUGGGGGGACUUUCCCUGUGACAUGUCUAGCAUCUACCCGAUAUGUGAAGCGAGUCCUGGAGAAACUGAACCUAUCGGAUGAGAUCCACAAAAUACUGUAACAUUUGAAAAUAAAAUGAUAAAACCUUU